AAUUUAGCAAUGAUCUCACUAACAGCAGCUCCGAGGGAUUCCAGAAACUACGAAGAGAAAUAGAGCAGACUAUACAGAAUAUCCUGCAGACAAAGUAUGGGAAUUUGAAUGUCUCUGUAAUCUCAUUCAGCCCUGGAUCGGUGAUCGUCAUCUUACAAAUCCUCUUUCCCGAUGGCACUGUGGUGACUAUUGCAGAUAUUCAAGCCUUGUUUGAUGAAGUGAGGAGGACUGGCAUGC